rnacentral:rRNA from 1 species
GAUGAACGCUGGCGGCGUGCCUAAUACUGCAAAUUGAGCCAACAGAACAGGAACUUUCUUCUCCGGCGUUAGCGGCCGACGGGUGAGGAACACGUUGGUAACCUAACUAUAAGGCUGGGAAAACUUCGGGAAAACGGAGCCAAUACCGGAUAAUAUAUUUAAACGGAUGGUUUAAUAGUUGAAAACGGUUUUUCUGUUCCCUAUAAGUGGAUCCGCGCCGCAUUAGCUAGUUGGUAAGGUAACGGCUUACCAAGGCAACGAUGCGUAGCCGACCUGAGAGGGUGAUCGGCCACACUGGAACUGAGACACGGUCCAGACUCCUACGGGAGGCAGCAGUAGGGAAUCUUCCGCAAUGGGCGAAAGCCUGACGGAGCAACGCCGCGUGAGUGAUGAAGGUCUUCGGAUCGUAAAACUCUGUUAUUAGGGAAGAACAAAUGUGUAAGUAACUAUGCACGUCUUGACGGUACCUAAUCAGAAAGCCACGGCUAACUACGUG